AGUAAUGCUUGGGAAUCUAGCUUGUGGAGGGGAUAACUACGGGAAACUGUAGCUAAUACCGCGUAGAAUCGAGAGAUGAAAGUGUGGGACCUUCGGGCCACAUGCCAUAGGAUGAGCCCAAGUGGGAUUAGGUAGUUGGUGAGGUAAAGGCUCACCAAGCCGACGAUCUCUAGCUGGUCUGAGAGGAUGACCAGCCACACUGGGACUGAGACACGGCCCAG
rnacentral:rRNA from 1 species